AACGAACGCCGGCGGCAGGCCUAACACAUGCAAGUCGAACGCCCUAGCAAUAGGGAGUGGCAGACGGGUGAGUAACACGUGGGAACCUUCCCUAUAGUAUGGAAUAGCCCAGGGAAACUUGGAGUAAUACCGUAUACGCCCGAGAGGGGAAAGAUUUAUCGCUAUAGGAUGGGCCCGCGUAGGAUUAGCUAGUUGGUGAGGUAAUGGCUCACCAAGGCGACGAUCCUUAGCUGGUCUGAGAGGACGACCAGCCACACUGGGACUGAGACACGGCCCAGACUCCUACGGGAGGCAGCAGUGGGGAAUAUUGGACAAUGGGCGCAAGCCUGAUCCAGCCAUGCCGCGUGAGUGAUGAAGGCCUUAGGGUUGUAAAGCUCUUUUGCCGGGGACGAUAAUGACGGUACCCGGAGAAUAAGUCCCGGCUAACUUCGUG
rnacentral:rRNA from 1 species